GCCCAGUUUAACCAUUCCAGGAGAGUAUAAAUGUCAGCUGCUCUAGUCUUGGCUGCGUUACCACCGACCAGUCCUCAGCCGGCAACAUGAAGCUGGGUGGCCUCUGCCUCCUGCUCCUCCUCGCCGUCCUUCUCACCCUCAAUGCAGAGUUCCAAGCAGUUGAUGUAGGUAUCUGUGUGACGGAGUGCCGUGUAGACCAGGACUGUGGGGAAGGAAGACUAUGCAUCAGUAAUGGGUGUGGCCGUGUCUGCUUCCCAGGGCGAAGAGAGGGCUGCGAGCACCAGUGCAGAGAAGACAGGGACUGUGGGAGUGGACAUCAGUGCGUGAGGAAGGGCUGUGGGCACGUCUGCGCCCCCGUCCAUCAAGUCGGUAUCUGUGUGACGGAGUGCAACGUAGACCAGGACUGUGGGGAAGGAAGACAAUGCACCAGCAAUGGAUGUGGCCGGGUCUGCUCCCCAGUCCGGCGAGAAGAUGUAGGUAUCUGUGUGACGGAGUGCAAGGUAGACCAGGACUGUGGGGAAGGAAGACGAUGCACCAGCAAUGGGUGUGGCCGUGUCUGCUCCCCAGUCCAGCAAAAAGAGGCCUGCGAGCACCAGUGCAGAGAAGACAGGGACUGUGGGAGUGGACAUCAGUGCGUGAGGAAGGGCUGUGGGCACGUCUGCGCCCCCGUCCAUCAAGUCGAUGUAGGUAUCUGUGUGACGGAGUGCCGUGUAGACCAGGACUGUGGGGAAGGAAGACAAUGCACCAGCAAUGGAUGUGGCCGUGUCUGCUCCCCAGCCCAGCAAAGAGAGGCCUGCGAGCACCAAUGCAGAGAAGACAAGGACUGUGGGAGUGGACAUCAGUGCGUGAGGAAGGGCUGUGGGCACGUCUGCUCCCCCAUCCCUCAAGUAGGUAUCUGUGUGACGGAGUGCAAUGUAGACCAGGACUGUGGGGCAGGAAGACGAUGCACCAGCAAUGGAUGUGGCCGGGUCUGCUCCCCACCCCAGGGAGGAGGACUCUGUGUGGACCGCUGCCGAGGAAACUGGGACUGUGGGGCCGGAGAAGAAUGUAUCAGGAAGGGAUGUGGACGGGUCUGCUCUCCAGCCCAGGAGCCAGUGGUAGGUAUCUGUGUGGAUCAGUGCCAAAGACACUGGGAAUGUGGUCCACGGAUGCGGUGUGUCUCCACUGGAUGUGGCCACAUCUGCUCACCAGCCCAAGACCAAGGUAAGAGGUGCAAGCCUUGCCUUCCAAGCCCCUGACUGACUGAAUGCUUGGCUCUG
rnacentral:lncRNA from 1 species